GACGAACGCUGGCGGCGCGCUUAACACAUGCAAGUCGAGCGAGAACCUGGGCUUCGGCCCUGGGGACAGCGGCGAACGGGUGAGUAACACGUGGGUAAUCUGCCCUUGACAUCGGGAUAGCCCGGGGAAACCCGGAUUAAUACCGAAUAGCCUCCGGAGCCCUCGGGCGCCGGAGAAAAGGUAGCUUCGGCCUCUGGUCAAGGAUGAGCCCGCGGCGGAUUAGCUUGUUGGCGGGGUAACGGCCCACCAAGGCGACGAUCCGUAGCUGGUCUGAGAGGCCGAGCAGACCCACUGGGACUGAGACACGGCCCAGACUCCUACGGGAGGCAGCAGUGGGGAAUCUUGCGCAAAGGCGGGAAACCGUGACGCAGCGACGCCGCGUGGGGGAAGAAGGCCUUCGGGUUGUAAACCUCUUUCAGGAGAGACGAAGCUACUCGGGUUAAUAGCCCAGAGGGUGACGGUACCUCCAGAAGAAGCCCCGGCUAACUACGUGCCAGCCGCCGCGGUAAGAC
rnacentral:rRNA from 1 species